ACUUUUGGGAUAAAAAGGGGGCUGCUCCAAGGCCAUGGAUCAAGGACUGAGCAAGUCCAGGUCACAGUUUGUAAUGUUCCUGCUCAGGACAUGCUAAAGAUUCCAGUUGUCCCUGGACUCACCAGUGUAAUGUAAGAGGGAAGCUCAGUGAUGAGGGGAUAUAAACCCAAGGGCCAGGACAUAAAGCAGAGGAUAUGAUAUGAACACACCAGUUGUGGAAAAUACUCCAGAAUAUCACCAAAAAGAGGAUUGGGCAAUUUCAAGUCUUUGAUGAACCAUCAU